rnacentral:rRNA from 1 species
CGAACGCUGGCGGCAUGCCUAACACAUGCAAGUCGAACGAAGGCUUCGGCCUUAGUGGCGGACGGGUGAGUAACGCGUGAGAAUCUGCCCUCAGGAGGGGGAUAACGGCUGGAAACGGCCGCUAAUACCCCAUAUGCCGCGAGGUGAAAUGAAUUUCGCCUGAGGAUGAGCUCGCGUCUGAUUAGCUAGUUGGUGGGGUAAGAGCCUACCAAGGCAUCGAUCAGUAGCUGGUCUGAGAGGAUGAUCAGCCACACUGGGACUGAGACACGGCCCAGACUCCUACGGGAGGCAGCAGUGGGGAAUUUUCCGCAAUGGGCGCAAGCCUGACGGAGCAACGCCGCGUGAGGGAUGAAGGCCUCUGGGCUGUAAACCUCUUUUAUCAAGGAAGAAGAUCUGACGGUACUUGAUGAAUAAGCCACGGCUAAUUCCGCGCCAGCAGCCGCGGUAAUCUGAUGGCGCGAGG